CAGCCGCCGCGGUAAUACGAAGGGUGCAAGCGUUAAUCGGAAUUACUGGGCGUAAAGCGUGCGUAGGCGGUUUGUUAAGUCUGUUGUGAAAUCCCCGGGCUCAACCUGGGAAUGGCAAUGGAUACUGGCAAGCUAGAGUGUGUCAGAGGAUGGUGGAAUUCCCGGUGUAGCGGUGAAAUGCGUAGAGAUCGGGAGGAACAUCAGUGGCGAAGGCGGCCAUCUGGGACAACACUGACGCUGAGGCACGAAAGCGUGGGGAGCAAACAGGAUUAGAGACCCGCGUAGUCCCUGUCUCUUAUAC
rnacentral:rRNA from 1 species